rnacentral:rRNA from 1 species
CAACUUGAGAGUUUGAUCCUGGCUCAGAACGAACGCUGGCGGCAGGCUUAACACAUGCAAGUCGAACGCCCCUUCGGGGGAGUGGCAGACGGGUGAGUAACGCGUGGGAAUCUACCCAGCUCUACGGAAUAACUGAGGGAAACUUCAGCUAAUACCGUAUACGUCCUUCGGGAGAAAGAUUUAUCGGAGUUGGAUGAGCCCGCGUUGGAUUAGCUAGUUGGUGGGGUAAUGGCCUACCAAGGCGACGAUCCAUAGCUGGUCUGAGAGGAUGAUCAGCCACACUGGGAC